UACGAAGGGGGCUAGCGUUGUUCGGAAUUACUGGGCGUAAAGCGUGCGCAGGCGGCUUCUCAAGUCAGGGGUGAAAGCCCAGAGCUCAACUCUGGAAUUGCCUUUGAGACUGAGUGGCUUGAGUACGAGAGAGGUGAGUGGAAUUCCCAGUGUAGAGGUGAAAUUCGUAGAUAUCGGAAAGAACACCAACGGCGAAAGCACUCUGCUGGGCCGACACUGACACUGAGAGACGAAAGCUAGGGGAGCGAAUGGG
rnacentral:rRNA from 1 species